rnacentral:rRNA from 1 species
GACGAACCCUGGCGGCGUGCCUAAUACAUGCAAGUCGAGCGCAGGAAAUCAUCCGAACCCUUCGGGGGGACGUUGAUGGAAUGAGCGGCGGACGGGUGAGUAACACGUAAAGAACCUGCCCUCAGGUCUGGGAUAACCACGAGAAAUCGGGGCUAAUACCGGAUGGGUCAUCGGACGCAUGGUCCGAGGAUGAAAGGCGCUUCGGCGUCGCCUGGGGAUGGCUUUGCGGUGCAUUAGCUAGUUGGUGGGGUAAAGGCCUACCAAGGCGACGAUGCGUAGCCGACCUGAGAGGGUGAACGGCCACACUGGGACUGAGACACGGCCCAGACUCCUACGGGAGGCAGCAGUAGGGAAUCUUCGGCAAUGGGCGAAAGCCUGACCGAGCAACGCCGCGUGAAUGAUGAAGGCCUUCGGGUUGUAAAAUUCUGUUAUAAGGGAAGAACGACUUUAGUAGGAAAUGGCUAGAGUGUGACGGUACCUUAUGAGAAAGCCACGGCUAACUACGUGCCAGCCGCCGCCGUAAUAC